rnacentral:rRNA from 1 species
AUUGAACGCUGGCGGCAGGCCUAACACAUGCAAGUCGAACGAGCGGCGGACGGGUGAGUAAUGUAUGGGAAACUGCCUGAUGGAGGGGGAUAACUACUGGAAACGGUAGCUAAUACCGCAUACCAUCAGAUGAACCCAGAUGGGAUUAGCUAGUUGGUGGGGUAAAGGCUCACCAAGGCGACGAUCCCUAGCUGGUCUGAGAGGAUGACCAGCCACACUGGAACUGAGACACGGUCCAGACUCCUACGGGAGGCAGCAGUGGGGAAUAUUGCACAAUGGGCGCAAGCCUGAUGCAGCCAUGCCGCGUGUAUGAAGAAGGCCUUAGGGUUGUAAAGUACUUUCAGCGGGGAGGCGUUACCCGCAGAAGAAGCACCGGCUAACUCCGUGCCAGCAGCCGCGGUAAUUC